UACGGGGGGGGUAAGCGUUGUUCGGAAUUACUGGGCGUAAAGGGCUCGUAGGCGGCCAACUAAGUCAGACGUGAAAUCCCUCAGCUUAACUGGGGAACUGCGUCUGAUACUGGAUGGCUUGGAUUCGGGAGAGGAAUGCGGAAUUCCAGGUGUAGCGGUGAAAUGCGUAGAUAUCGGAAGGAACACCGGUGGCGAAAGCGGCGCGCUGGACCUCUUCUGACGCUGAGGCGCGAAAGCCAGGGGAGCGGAACGGG
rnacentral:rRNA from 1 species